rnacentral:rRNA from 1 species
UACAGAGGGGGCAAGCGUUAUUCGGAAUUAUUGGGCGUAAAGGGCGCGUAGGCGGUGAUUUAAGUGAGAUGUGUAGUCCCCGAGCUUAACUUGGGAACUGCAUCUCAGACUGGGUCGCUAGAGUGCUGGAGAGGGUGGUGGAAUUCCACGUGUAGCGGUGAAAUGCGUAGAGAUGUGGAGGAACACCAGUGGCGAAGGCGGCCACCUGGACAGUAACUGACGCUGAGGCGCGAAAGUGUGGGGAGCAAACAGG